rnacentral:rRNA from 1 species
CAUGCAGUCGAGGGGCAGCAUGAUUUGUAGCAAUACAGAUUGAUGGCGACCGGCGCACGGGUGAGUAACGCGUAUGCAACUUACCUAUCAGAGGGGGAUAGCCCGGCGAAAGUCGGAUUAAUACCCCAUAAAACAGGGGUCCCGCAUGGGAAUAUUUGUCAAAGAUUCAUCGCUGAUAGAUAGGCAUGCGUUCCAUUAGGCAGUUGGCGGGGUAACGGCCCACCAAACCGACGAUGGAUAGGGGUUCUGAGAGGAAGGUCCCCCACAUUGGUACUGAGACACGGACCAAACUCCUACGGGAGGCAGCAGUGAGGAAUAUUGGUCAAUGGCCGAGAGGCUGAACCAGCCAAGUCGCGUGAAGGAAGAAGGAUCUAUGGUUUGUAAACUUCUUUUAUAGGGGAAUAAAGUGGAGGACGUGUCCUUUUUUGUAUGUACCCUAUGAAUAAGCAUCGGCUAACUCCGUGCCAGCAGCCGCGGUAAUACGGAGGAUGCGAGCGUUAUCCGGAUUUAUUGGGUUUAAAGGGUGCGUAGGUGGUGAUUUAAGUCAGCGGUGAAAGUUUGUGGCUCAACCAUAAAAUUGCCGUUGAAACUGGGUUACUUGAGUGUGUUUGAGGUAGGCGGAAUGCGUGGUGUAGCGGUGAAAUGCAUAGAUAUCACGCAGAACUCCGAUUGCGAAGGCAGCUUACUAAACCAUAACUGACACUGAAGCACGAAAGCGUGGGGAUCAAACAGGAUUAGAUACCCUGGUAGUCCACGCAGUAAACGAUGAUUACUAGGAGUUUGCGAUACAAUGUAAGCUCUACAGCGAAAGCGUUAAGUAAUCCACCUGGGGAGUACGCCGGCAACGGUGAAACUCAAAGGAAUUGACGGGGGCCCGCACAAGCGGAGGAACAUGUGGUUUAAUUCGAUGAUACGC